rnacentral:rRNA from 1 species
CGAAAGCCUGUCUCAGUUCGGAUUGGAGUCUGNAACCCGACUCCAUGAAGCUGGAUUCGCUAGUAAUCGCGCAUCAGCCACGGCGCGGUGAAUACGUUCCCGGGCCUUGUACACACCGCCCGUCAAGCCAUGGAAGCCGGGGGUGCCUGAAGUGCGCUGCCGCAAGGAGCGCCCUAGGGUAAAACCGGUGACUGGGGCUAAGUCGUAACAAGGUAUC